rnacentral:rRNA from 1 species
UGGAAUCGCUAGUAAUCGCGGAUCAGAAUGCCGCGGUGAAUACGUUCCCGGGUCUUGUACACACCGCCCGUCACACCAUGGGAGUCGGAAAUGCCCGAAGUCUGUGACCUAACCGUAAGGAAGGAGCAGCCGAAGGCAGGUCGGAUGACUGGGGUGAAGUCGUAACAAGGUAGC